CACUGGAAACGGUGGCUAAUACCGCAUAACGUCGCAAGACCAAAGAGGGGGACCUUCGGGCCUCUCACUAUCGGAUGAACCCAGAUGGGAUUAGCUAGUAGGUGGGGUAACGGCUCACCUAGGCGACGAUCCCUAGCUGGUCUGAGAGGAUGACCAGCCACACUGGAACUGAGACACGGUCCAGACUCCUACGGGAGGCAGCAGUGGGGAAUAUUGCACAAUGGGCGCAAGCCUGAUGCAGCCAUGCCGCGUGUAUGAAGAAGGCCUUCGGGUUGUAAAGUACUUUCAGCGGGGAGGAAGGGAUGGAGCUUAAUAC
rnacentral:rRNA from 1 species